GCUCCCGUAGCUCAGCAGGAUAGAGCGACUGCCUCCUAAGCAGUAGGUCACGCGUUCGAAUCGCGUCGGGGGUA
rnacentral:tRNA from 2 species